AAAGGAAUUCUGCCUACUGAAUUCUAACCUAAAUAAUGAUGUCGUGGGGCACAGACGGGCAUCAGCGCUACACAUACUUGACAUCCUUUUUUGAUCUGAUCACACUGACAGAGGCAAUGAAGAGUAUGAGGUGGGAAGUGGUCUGUGGCAAUAUAGCAAUGAAACAGUAACAUGAGGAAAGUUGAGCGGGCCGUUAUUGCCGGUGAAGUCCGUUACAAAGGAGAAGCAGGAGCCAGAGCUAAUAGUAGAAACAGAUAUAAGUAAAGCUGACUUGCAGAGCCGGCAAAAAACCCCACUACAUCAUGCUGUUUUUGAAGGAGGGAGACCUGCUACAUCAUUUGGGAUGGCAUACAUGUAGCAAUCCAUACAGGAAGUGACUUAACCCUUUCCCUACAACUUUUAUCAGUGACGUAUUACUUGUUUGAUCUAUAUCAUACCCAAAAUGCUACCAACUUUUUGGUUUUUUACAUAUGGCAGUUUUAGAUGCCAAAACGGGUUUUCACUACGACUCAUUUUUUGACUUUUAAUUGUAUAAAUAUAUAGUGAGCAGGGAAAUUGACAGACAUAAAACUAUAUUGUUAUUUCUUAGCUGAUUAUUGACUUGUAUUAAUCGCUGUAAGUUAAUAAUUUAAUCAGAUAUCAAUACCCAAAAUUUAUAACAGCUAUGCGGUUUCUUUCUGUGGUAGUAUAUGUACUAGGCAAUCGUCUACUACACUGCCUUCUGUGUGAAGUGGAUGUGUUUCUUUAGAUUUCAGACUUUGCUGUUUGUAUAUCUGAAAAUACAAUUACUUUUUUAACUGAACACUGCUUUUUAUGAUUACAGUAUUUUGCUGUUACUCUAAAGUCUGUUAUAUUGUACUCUGAACUUGUCUUAAAACAGGUUUCACAUUUUGUUAAGCAUGAAACAAAAUUCUGCUUUUGCGUGUUUCGUUUUGUAUGUAACUUAGUAUGAGUCACCAUCAGUAUAAGUGUUCUAUCCUGUAAAAGAUCAAGAAAAUCCAGGCUUACUUUUGUGUAUUAUAUGCAAAGUUAUAAGUCGGUUUUCCUUUUAUCUAAAUGUUCAUUUCAACACACUGUAUUAAUAUAGGCCGCUGUGGACCACGGAAUGUGAAUGUGAGAUAAAAAUAAAUAUAUUUCUAAUAUA